rnacentral:lncRNA from 7 species
CCGUGAUUUUGGGGAAAUGCGUGAUUUUGCAAGAGAAAAGGCGAGAUUUUGAGUUAAAUGGGGGAUUUUCUAAGAGAAAAUGCAUGAUUUGGGGUUAAAUGGAGGAUUUCUGAGGAGGAAAAUGGUGAUUCUUGGGAUAAUGGGGUAUUUUUGGAGAGAAAAUGCAUGAUUUGGGGUUUAAAUGGGGGAUUUUCUAAGAGAAAAUGCAUGAUUUGGGGGUUAAAAGGGGAUUUCUGAGGAGAAAAUGUGUGAUUCUUGGGAUAAUGGGUAUUUUUGGAGAGAAAAUGCAUGAUUUGGGGGUAAAUGCGUAUUUUCCAAGAGAAAAGGCGAGAUUUUUGAGUGAAAUGGGGGAUAUUCCAAGAGAAAUUGCGUGAUUUGGGGGUUAAAUGGAGGAUUGUUGAAGAGACAAAGCAUGAUUUUGGGUGAAGGGGGGGAUUUUUGAAGAGAAAACACGUAAUUUUGGUUUAAACAGCUAUUUUUGAAGAGAAUAUGCGUGAUUUUCAGUUUAAAUCAGGGAUUGUCAAAGAGGGAAUGUGUGAUUUUUGUUUAAAUGGGGUAUUUUGGAAGGGAAGAUGCGUGAUUUUCGGGUUAAAUGGGGGAUUUUCGAAGAGGAAAUGCUUCGUUUCAGGUUGAACUGGGUGUUUUCGAAGCCAAAGUGCGUGAUUUUCACUUAUUUGGGGGAUUUUCCAAACGA